UAAAACACAACCAAAACCAAAACUCCGCAGUGGAUAACAAUUCAAAUACAAGGCAUGUGUCUCACUCUCAGCCACCACCUUUUCUCACUCUCAUGUCUACUUCUUUCUCUUCUCCUGUUAACUAACCGCAGUUGGGCAUCACCGUGGGAGUCUCCUCCCGUUCCCGAAGGAUUCGCGUUUCCCCCGCCGCCUGACGCCGCCCAGAAUGCGACGCUCGAG
rnacentral:lncRNA from 1 species